GAUGAACGCUGGCGGCGUGCCUAAUACAUGCAAGUCGAGCGAAUGGAUUAAGAGCUUGCUCUUAUGAAGUUAGCGGCGGACGGGUGAGUAACACGUGGGUAACCUGCCCAUAAGACUGGGAUAACUCCGGGAAACCGGGGCUAAUACCGGAUAACAUUUUGAACCGCAUGGUUCGAAAUUGAAUGGCGGCUUCGGCUGGCACUUAUGGAUGGACCCGCGUCGCAUUAGCUAGUUGGUGAGGUAACGGCUCACCAAGGCAACGAUGCGUAGCCGACCUGAGAGGGUGAUCGGCCACACUGGGACUGAGACACGGCCCAGACUCCUACGGGAGGCGGCAGUAGGGAAUCUUCCGCAAUGGACGAAAGUCUGGCGGAGCAACGCCGCGUGAGUGAUGAAGGCUUUCGGGUCGUAAAACUCUGUUGUUAGGGAAGAACAAGUGCUAGUUGAAUAAGCUGGCACCUUGACGGUACCUAACCAGAAAGCCACGGCUAACUACGUGCCAGCCGCCGCGGUAA
rnacentral:rRNA from 1 species